rnacentral:rRNA from 1 species
AGCGAACGCUGGCGGCAGGCUUAACACAUGCAAGUCGAGCGGGCGUAGCAAUACGUCAGCGGCAGACGGGUGAGUAACGCGUGGGAACAUACCUUUUGGUUCGGAACAACACAGGGAAACUUGUGCUAAUACCGGAUAAGCCCUUACGGGGAAAGAUUUAUCGCCGAAAGAUUGGCCCGCGUCUGAUUAGCUAGUUGGUGAGGUAACGGCUCACCAAGGCGACGAUCAGUAACCGACCUGAGAGGGCGGACGGUCACACUGGAACUGAGACACGGUCCAGACUCCUACGGGUGGCAGCCUGAGACUCCAAGGCACACAGGGGAUAGG